GACAGAGGGUGCAAACGUUGCUCGGAAUCACUGGGCGUAAAGGGCGUGUAGGCGGGAAGGAAAGUCAGAUGUGAAAUCCCGUGGGCUCAACCCAGGAACUGCAUUUGAAACUCCCUUUCUUGAGUACCGGAGAGGAAGGUGGAAUGCCUGGUGUAAAGGUGAAAUUCGUAGAUAUCAGGAGGAACACCGGUGGCGAAGGCGGCUUCCUGGACAAUUACUGACGCUGAGACGCGAAAGCGUGGGGAGCAAACAGG
rnacentral:rRNA from 1 species